rnacentral:rRNA from 1 species
UACGUAGGGUGCUAGCGUUAUCCGGAUUUACUGGGCGUAAAGGGUGCGUAGGUGGUUUCUUAAGUCAGGAGUGAAAGGCUACGGCUCAACCGUAGUAAGCUCUUGAAACUGGGAAACUUGAGUGCAGGAGAGGAAAGUGGAAUUCCUAGUGUAGCGGUGAAAUGCGUAGAUAUUAGGAGGAACACCAGUAGCGAAGGCGGCUUUCUGGACUGUAACUGACACUGAGGCACGAAAGCGUGGGGAGCAAACAGG